rnacentral:rRNA from 1 species
CAGUAGCCGCGGUAAUACGAAGGGGGCUAGCGUUGUUCGGAUUUACUAGGCGUAAAGCGCACGUAGACGGAUCCUUAAGUCAGAGGUGAAAUCCCAAGGCUCAACCUUGGAACUGCCUUUGAUACUGGGGAUCUCGAGUUCGGGAGAGGUGAGUGGAACUGCGAGUGUAGAGGUGAAAUUCGUAGAUAUUCGCAAGAACACCAGUGGCGAAGGCGGCUCACUGGCCCGAUACUGACGCUGAGGUGCGAAAGCGUGGGGAGCAAACAGGAUUAGAUACCCGCGUAGUCCCUGUCUCUUAUAC